rnacentral:rRNA from 2 species
AGCCAUGCGAGUCAUUGUAGCAAUACAAGGCAUACGGCUCAGUAACGCGUAGUCAACCUAACCUAUGGACGGGAAUAACCUCGGGAAACUGAGAAUAAUGCCCGAUAGAACAUUAUGCCUGGAAUGGUUUAUGUUCCAAAUGAUUUAUCGCCGUAGGAUGGGACUGCGGCCUAUCAGUUUGUUGGUGAGGUAAUGGCCCACCAAGACUAUUACAGGUACGGGCUCUGAGAGGAGUAGCCCGGAGAUGGGUACUGAGACACGGACCCAGGCCCUAUGGGGCGCAGCAGGCGAGAAAACUUUGCAAUGUGCGAAAGCACGACAAGGUUAAUCCGAGUGGUUUCUGCUAAAGAAACCUUUUGUCAGUCCUAGAAACACUGAUGAAUAAGGGGUGGGCAAGUUCUGGUGUCAGCCGCCGCGGUAAAACCAGCACCUCAAGUGGUCAGGAUGAUUAUUGGGCCUAAAGCAUCCGUAGCCGGCUCUGUAAGUUUUCGGUUAAAUCUGUACGCUCAACGUACAGGCUGCCGGGAAUACUGCAAAGCUAGGGAGUGGGAGAGGUAGACGGUACUCGGUAGGAAGGGGUAAAAUCCUUUGAUCUAUUGAUGACCACCUGUGGCGAAGGCGGUCUACCAGAACACGUCCGACGGUGAGGGAUGAAAGCUGGGGGAGCAAACCGGAUUAGAUACCCGGGUAGUCCCAGCUGUAAACCAUGCAAACUCAGUGAUGCAUUGGCUUGUGGCCAAUGCAGUGCUGCAGGGAAGCCGUUAAGUUUGCCGCCUGGGAAGUACGUACGCAAGUAUGAAACUUAAAGGAAUUGGCGGGGGAGCACCACAAGGGGUGAAGCCUGCGGUUCAAUUGGAGUCAACGCCGGG